rnacentral:rRNA from 1 species
UACGUAGGGCGCAAGCGUUGUCCGGAAUUAUUGGGCGUAAAGAGCUCGUAGGUGGCUUGUCGCGUCUGUCGUGAAAGCCCGGGGCUUAACUCCGGGUCUGCGGUGGAUACGGGCAGGCUAGAGGCAGGUAGGGGAGAAUGGAAUUCCCGGUGUAGCGGUGAAAUGCGCAGAGAUCGGGAGGAACACCGGUGGCGAAGGCGGCCAGCUGGCCCUG